AAGUCGUAACAAGGUUUCCGUAGGUGAACCUGCGGAAGGAUCAUUACCAAUAUAGCGAACCGAGCGUUAGCGAGGUUUCGCGAUCAAAUUUGUAUUUAAAACCCAACUCUUUAAAUGUAUAUUAUUAUUGUAUUUUAAAUAAUAAAAAGAUCACUUUCAACAACGGAUCUCUUGGCUCUC
rnacentral:misc_RNA from 1 species